rnacentral:misc_RNA from 1 species
GAUGAAGAACGUAGCGAAAUGCGAUAAGUAAUGUGAAUUGCAGAAUUCAGUGAAUCAUCGAAUCUUUGAACGCACAUUGCGCCUGCCAGUAUUCUGGCGGGCAUGCCUGUUCGAGCGUCAUUUCAACCAUCAAGCCCCCGGCUUGUGUUGGGGACCUGCGGCUGCCGCAGGCCCUGAAAACCAGUGGCGGGCUCGCUAGUCACUCCGAGCGUAGUAAUACAUCUCGCUCAGGGCGUGCUGCGGGUUCCGGCCGUUAAAAAGCCUUAUUUACCCAAGGUUGACCUCGGAUCAGGUAGGAAGACCCGCUGAACUUAAGCAUAUCAAUAAGCGGAGGA